CAGUGUAUAGCUAAACUGAAGAUAAAGCAUCUCACUUACACCGAGAAGGUAUCCGAGCAACCCGGAUUACACUGA
rnacentral:tRNA from 1 species